rnacentral:rRNA from 1 species
CAGGCCUAACACAUGCAAGUCGAGCGGCAGCGGGAAAGUAGCUUGCUACUUUUGCCGGCGAGCGGCGGACGGGUGAGUAAUGCCUGGGGAUCUGCCCAGUCGAGGGGGAUAACAGUUGGAAACGACUGCUAAUACCGCAUACGCCCUACGGGGGAAAGGAGGGGACCUUCGGGCCUUUCGCGAUUGGAUGAACCCAGGUGGGAUUAGCUAGUUGGUGGGGUAAUGGCUCACCAAGGCGACGAUCCCUAGCUGGUCUGAGAGGAUGAUCAGCCACACUGGAACUGAGACACGGUCCAGACUCCUACGGGAGGCAGCAGUGGGGAAUAUUGCACAAUGGGGGAAACCCUGAUGCAGCCAUGCCGCGUGUGUGAAGAAGGCCUUCGGGUUGUAAAGCACUUUCAGCGAGGAGGAAAGGUUGGCAGCUAAUAUCUGUCAGCUGUGACGUUACUCGCAGAAGAAGCACCGGCUAACUCCGUGCCAGCAGCCCGCGGUAAUACGGAGGGUGCAAGCGNUAAUCGGAAUUACUGGGCGUAAAGCGCACGCAGGCGGNUGGAUAAGUUAGAUGUGAAAGCCCCGGGCUCAACCUGGGAAUUGCAUUUAAAACUGUUCAGCUAGAGUCUUGNANAGGGGGGUAGAANUCCAGGUGUANCNGGNGAAAAGCGUANAGAUCUGGAGGAAUACCCGGG